rnacentral:rRNA from 1 species
CGACGCCGCGGUGGGGAGUGAAGUCUUUCGGAGUGUAAACCCUUUCGACCCGGACGAAAACCUCGCAAGAGGAUUGACGGUACGGGUAUAAGAAGUCCGGCUAACUACGUGU